UUGGGUUAAGUCCGUAACGAGCGCAACCCUUGUCCUUAGUUACCAGCACGUUAUGUGGGCACUCUAAGGAGACUGCCGGUGACAACCGAGGAAGGUGGGGAUGACGUCAAGUCAUCAUGGCCCUUACGGCCUGGGCUACACACGUGCUACAAUGGUCGGUACAAAGGGUUGCCAAGCCGCGAGGUGGAGCUAAUCCCAUAAAACCGAUCGUAGUCCGGAUCGCAGUCUGCAACUCGACUGCGUGAAGUCGGAAUCGCUAGUAAUCGUGAAUCAGAAUGUCACGGUGAAUACGUUCCCGGGCCUU
rnacentral:rRNA from 1 species